GAGCUUUGACCCCUGGCCUCUGAGUUCGGGCCAUGUGCAGUUGGUAUCCUGCUGACUCUUCUGGAAGUCAAGUGCAUCCUGGCUCUGGCUGGAUCCUCCCCCUGCAGCUCCAUUUCUCUGCCCAGGGCUGUGCCAAGUCCAACAUCAAUGGCCUCGUCACAUCCGCUUGUGUCUUUACUUCGUGGUGUCACUCCUUUGGAGGCUUGGCUGCACAAGAGGAAUAUGUGACAGCUGCCUCGAGCUUUGACUCAUUACUGCCAAAGGGCCUAGGGGAAGAAAUAUGAUUAAGAGGAAAUGUGAAGGUUUAGGGACAACAGCCAUUUGACAGGAAACCGUGCACUUGGGGAAGCAGGAAUGAACUCAAAGCGUCGGGAUGAGCCAUUGAGGUGGAUCCGCUGAGGACUCAGCCGUUCUUCCUGAAGCUGGAAACUGACCUUUUCCCAUCUUCAAAACAUUUCUUAAUGUACCUCCUUUGGUGCCGUGAUGAGAGAGUUUGGGGUCAAAAGUAGACCUAAUUUUAAAUGUCUUAAGUUGUUUGCAGCAUGGUGUUUUCUUCAUCUGGAAGUGGGAGUUUUGAGUUCUGCUAAAUAUUGUUAUUCCUUCUAAAUCCUUUGUUUAUCUUAGGAAAGUCCCAGGGCUCUUGUUCCCGUUUGCGUGUUGACUCGUUGGCCAAAGCUGCUGCAUUGAGUUGUGUUCUGUCCUGCCUGGGGAGAGGAAGACCACAUGGUUAGGACAGAAAAAGCCUAACCAUCAGAAGACAGAGGGUAUCACAGCAGCUGGACGGUCUCCCCUUUGCUGUUGCACACCCAGGGAUGGUAUAACCCUCCCCCAGUACUGCAGCAUGAAGGUGGGGUGAGAGGUAGAGAUUAGACACAAGUAUCAGGCUCUACUGCUCACAGAAAAAUGCCCAGAGUACUUAGACCCAUCGUGUUGGAACUGACCCGCAAGUCUGAGGAAGGAAAUGAGACAAGAUUCCAAGCUGUCAGCAAAGUGAUUCUAUGCAUCACACAUUGGCUCCACUGUCAAUACGUAUUAGUUCACCGAUGAUGGGAAAUGUUGAUGGACUCCCAGAACAUAUGAUUUCACUUAUGUACGUAUCAAGGAUAAUCAAAUUCAUAGGGACAGAAAGCAGGAUGGUGAAGAUCAAGCUUUGCGUGAAGGGGGAAAUGGGGAGUUAUUUUUUCAUGGAUGUAGAGUUUCACUUUGGGAAAAUGAAGUUCUGGAGAUGGGUGGUGAUGGUGGAUGCACAGUAAGGUGAAUGAACUUAAUGCUGUUGAACUGCACACUUAAAAAUGGACAAAAUGGUAAAUUUUUUCUUAUGUACACUUUAUGGCAAUAAAAAAUUACCCAUUAACAAAAGUCCAAAACUUAUACUCCAAAACCUAUAAAACUUUGUGGAGGAGUUCCCAUCGUGGCUCAGUAGAAAUGAAUCUGACUUGCAUCCAUGAGGACGACGGUUUGAUCUCUGGCCUUGCUCAGUGGGUUAAGGAUCCGGCUUUGCUUGAGCUGUGGUGUAGGUCGCAGAUGCGGCUUGGAUCUGGUGUUGCUGUUGCUGUGGUGUAGGCCGGCAGCUGUAACUCCCAUUCGACCCCUAGCCUGGAAACUUCCAUAUGCCUUGGGUGUGGCCCUAAAAAGACACGCACAAAUAAAGACGGCAGUACAAAUUGAUCUACAGAUUCAACAUAGUCCCAAUCAAAAUUCCAUUUGGGUUCUUUACAGAAAUUGAUAAGCUUAUUCUAAAAUUUAUAUACAAAUUCAAAGGACUCAGAUUAGUUAAAACAUCUUUUAAAAGGAUAGAAUUAGGAGUUCCCAUCGUGGCGCAGUAGUUAACGAUUCUGACUAGGAACCAUGAGGUUGCCGGUUCGAUCCCUGGCCUCGCUCAGUGGGUUAAGGAUCUGGCAUUGCCGUGAGCUGUGGUGUAGGUCACAGACAAGGCUUGAAUCCCGAGUUGCUGUGGCUGUGGUGUAGGCCAGCAGCUACAGCUCCGAUUAGACCCCUAGCUUGGGAACCUCCAUAUGCCAUGGGAGCGGCCCUGGAAAAGACACACACACACACACACACACACACACACACACACAAAGUUAGAAUUGGAGGACUCAUAUUUCCCAAUUCAAACUUACUGUAGAACUAUAAUAAUGGAGAAACCAGUGUGGCGCUAGCAUAAGGACAGACAUAGAGAUAAAUAAGAUUGAACUGAAAAUGCAGAAGCAAACCCUCACACUUACAGUCAACUGAUUUUCCACAAGAGUGCCAAGAAAAUUCAAUAGAGAAUGAAUAGGGUUUUCAACAAUUAGUACUGGACAACUGUAUAUCCUCAUGCAAAAGAAAGAAGUUGUACCCUCUACCUCACUCCAUAUCCAUAUCCAUAUUAACAUGGAUCAAAGAAAUAAAUGUAAGAGAAACUAAAACUCCAUACCGUGCUGGUGGGAUUAUUAAAUGGUGCAGACAGGAAACCAGUUUGGCAGUUCUUCAAAAGACACACAGCAAUUCUACUCCUUCAAAUGUAUUCAAGAGAAUUGCAAACAUGUAUCUACACAAAAACUUCACAAGAAUAUUCAUAGGAGAAACGCAAAUCAAAACUACAGUGAGGUACCACCUCACACUGGUCAGAAUGGCCAUCAUAAAAAUCUACAAAAAAUAAAUACUGGAGAGGGUGUAGAGAAAAGGGAACCUUCCUACAUGCUUGGUGGGAGUGUACGUUGGUACAGCCACUAUGGAACACAGUAUGGAGGUUCCUCAGAAAACUAAGGAUAGAGUUACCAUAUGAUCCAGCAGUCCCACUCCUGGGCAUAUAUCUGGAUAAAACUAUAAUUCAAAAAGAUGCAUGCACCCCUAGUUCAUAGCAGCACCAUUCCUAAUAGCCAAGUCAUGGAAGCAACAUUAAUGUCCAUUGAUAGAUGAAUGGAUAAAGAAGAUGUGUGGACUACUGCUCAGUCAUAAAAAAGAAUGAAAUAAUGCCAUUUGCAGCAACAUGGAUGCAAUUAAAGAUUAUCAUACUAAAUGAAGUAAGUCAGAAGGAGAAAGAUGAAUGCCAUAUGUUAUCGCUUAUAUGUGGAAUCUCAAAUAUGGCACAAACAAACCCAUCUACAAAAUAGAAACAGACUCACAGACGUGAAGAGCAGACUUGGGGUUGCCAAGGGGUAGGGGGUUGGCAGGGGAGAGACGGACUGUGGGGUUGAGAUUAGCAGACGUAAACUGAAAGACAUGGAGGGGAUAAUGGACAAGAUUCCAUUGUACAGCACAGAGAAAUAUACUCACUGUCCUAUGAUAAACCAUAAUGGAAAAGAAUAUAAAAAAGAGUGUGUGUGUGUAACUGAAUCACUUUGCUGUACAGUAGCAAUGAACACUACUGGAAAUCAACAAUACUUAAAAUUGAAAAAAGAAUGGUCAUAGCAGUAUUAUUCGUAACAGCAAAAAGUGAAAACAAGCCAAAUGUCCAUCAACUGGUGGAUGGAUAAAUAAAAUCAUGUAUAUAUCUACACAAUAUAAUAUUACUCAGUCAUAAAAGGAAUGAAGAAGUACUGUUGCAAGCUACCACAGGGAUGAAAAAGUAUUAUUCUAAAUCUAUUGUAUUCUCAAAACAAAAGACCACACAGGAGUUCCGGUCACGGCUCAGCUGUUAACGAACCCGACUAGGAUCCAUGGGGAUGCGGGUUCAAUCCCUGGCCUCGCUCAGUGGGUUAAGGAUCCAGUGUCGCCGUGAGCUGUGGUGAGGGUCGCAGACACGGCUCGGAUCUGAUGUUGCUGUGGCUGGGAACUUCCAUAUGCCACCAGUGCAGCCCUAAAAAGACAGGGGAAAAAAACAUAUAUUUUAUUUCAUUUGCAUGAAAUAUACAGAAUAGACACACCUAGAGAGACAAGCCGAUCAGUGGUUGCCUGGGGCUGGGAGGCGGUAACCGCUAAUUGGCACAGUUUCUCUCUGGGGUGAUGCCAAUGUUCUAAAAUGGGUCAUGGUGAUGAUUGUGCAGCUUUGUGAAUAUACAUAAACCACUGAACUGUAUGUUUUAAAUGGGUGGAUUUUGUAGUAUGUGAGUGAUAUUGCAAAAAAAAGCUGCUACCAAAAAAAAAGCAUCCCUAAUCAUGGUUAGCAUUUUGGUAUAUACCUUUCCAGCAUCGUUAUGGCCCUUCCCCCCAUAUAUUUAUACAUUUAAAAAAUUAGGAUUGUAGAAGUUCCCAUCAUGACUCACCUGUUAACGAAUCUGACUGGGAACCAUGAGGUUGCGUGUUCGGUCCCUGGCCUUGCUCAGUGGGUUAAGGAUCCGGCGUUGCCUCAAGCUGUGGUGUAGGUUGCAGAUGCGGCUCGGAUCCCGCGUUGCUGUGGCUCUGGCAUAGGCCGGUGGCUACAGCUCCAAUUGGACCCCUAGCCUGGGAACCUCCAUAUGCCACGGGAGCAGCCCUAGAAAAGGCAAAAAGACCAAAAAAAAAGAAAAAAAAUUAGGAUUGUAAUGUGCUAUAGCCUGGC
ensembl:lncRNA